rnacentral:tRNA from 1 species
GCCUUCGUGGUGUAACGGUUAGCACACUCGGCAUGUAGUCGAGAGGUCCAGGGUUCGAAUCCCGGGGACGGCA